CACGUAGGGCGCAAGCGUUGUCCGGAAUUAUUGGGCGUAAAGAGCUCGUAGGCGGUCUGUCGCGUCGAAUGUGAAAGCCCAGGGCUCAACCCUGGGUCUGCAUUCGAUACGGGCAGACUAGAGUAUGGCAGGGGAGACUGGAAUUCCUGGUGUAGCGGUGAAAUGCGCAGAUAUCAGGAGGAACACCGGUGGCGAAGGCGGGUCUCUGGGCCAAAACUGACGCUGAGGAGCGAAAGCGUGGGGAGCGAACAGG
rnacentral:rRNA from 1 species